GUGCUUGCCUCUGCAGCAAAUAUACAAAAAUUGGAAGGAUACAGAGAAGAUUAGCAUAG
ensembl:snRNA U6 U6 spliceosomal RNA